rnacentral:snRNA from 1 species
CACUCACCGCCUUGACCGUGUACC